GGGGGUGUAGCUCAGUGGUAGAGUGUUUGACUACAAAUCAAGUGGUCCUUGGUUCAAACCUAAAUGCCCCCU